rnacentral:rRNA from 1 species
CAGCGUAGGGUCCGAGCCGUUGUCCGGAAUUGCUGGGCGUAAAGCGCGCGCAGGCGCCCGACACAUCGGCGGUGAAAGCCCCCCGCUUAACGGGGGAGGGUCCGUCGUUGAUGGUCGGGCUGGAGGCAGGGAGAGGGCGGGUGGAAUUCCGGGUGUAGUGGUGGAAAUGCGUAGAGAUCCGGAGGAACACCAGUGGCGGAAGGCGGCCGCCUGGACCUGACCUGACGCUGAGGCGCGAAGGCGCGGGGAGCGAACGGG